UCGCUCUCUUUUCUCAGUUACUCUGCUUUUGCUGAUUGAUUCGUCUGUUCUUUGGGCAUCACUCUAUCAUCUUGAAGAACAAACAAUGAAAUUAUGGAUGAUGAAGACAUUAAUACUACUUCUAUCAGUUAUACCAGGAUGUCAAUCAGAAGACUCAGUUGAUCAGCCACUUAAACAUGUUACUGAAUUUGAGGGAGAAUUGGUCACAUUGGACUGCAAAUAUACUACAAGCUCAACAUCACAAGAGCUCUUCUGGUACAUACAGAGAACAAAUGAAUCUCCUAAACUUGUGUUACAAAGGAAUUCAUAUGGAGGAGGAGUGAAUGGAACGGAGUACCAGGAGAGAUUUCACUCUGAAGUGAAACCAUCAAAAUCCGUCCCCUUGACGAUCCAGAGACUGUGUGUGUCUGACUCUGCUGUGUACUACUGCGCUCUGAGGCCCACAGUGUCACAGGACGUCUCUCUCUCACACAAAAACAAAAGAAACAAACCUACAGUAUACAGGGGAAACAAUAACACUGAAACGAUUUAAUUAAUUAAAAAUGAGCUGCAUCGCUAUUUCACCAAAAACCAAUCUGAUAUAAAAAAUAAAAUAAAAUAAAAUGUCAUGUUGGG